rnacentral:lncRNA from 13 species
UCGCUAAACUUCCAGCAGCCUUUUCUAGCCUAGGCCCAUCUGUUUUCUAGCUAGCUAACUAAGUUUUGUCUAGCUAGCUAGCACCUUACUUACAAACAAUUCUAGAUCAAACUGAUUGUCUUGCAGAUGGAAAGAACAGGCUGUUGUAGCCUCCCAACAGGUCGAUGCAUUGGCGAACCUGAGUCACCUGGGCCGAAACUGACUGGGCAUUCCUAACUUACUGUUCCUAACUCUGGUAAGGUUGGGGCCUGGGUCGAUGUACUUGAAGGAGCAGCCUCCUCAGCUGCUCCUUCAAUCUGACUACGGUUGGGUACACAACAGCCCCAAGUUUCUGUGCAAAGCUCCUCCCACCACUAAAGGAACCUCCAGCAUGAGCACCAUUUUGGAGGCACUACCAGACGUUGGCUCAACUGCCAGUGACAUGGCUUUCGAAUGGUCGCUCAACAAGAAACACUCAGACUUUAUCCCCAAUGAUUUACAUAUACAUUUAGUCAUUCCGCAGACGCUCUUAUCCAGAGCGACUUACAGGUAGUGCAUUCAUCUUAAGGUAGCUGGGUGAGAUGACCACCAGUUUUAAUAUUAAAGUGGAAUAAUGUUGUCUUCCUCAGAUUCUCCUUGGUACAUACCUAAAUUAAUACUUUGAGACGGCCCCCAAGUAGAUGAUGAAGUACUUGCAGGCAGUUGUCCUUCCCCAGCCAGUCAAUCAUGGAGGGGAAGACCAAGCUUCCACUGCCCUAUAACUACCUGAACCCUGCUGAGAUGGAGAAUAGUGUGACCAUAUGAGAUCUACGGUUCCACAGAGAAUGUUUAUCACAAUGUACCCAGGUUGCACCCAGAGCUAUGCAAUUAAUAAUAGUAGUAAUAAUAAUAGCAAUAAUAGUAAUAAUAAUAAUAAUAAUAGUAGUAAUAAUAGUAAUAAUAAUAGUAAUAAUAAUAGUAAUACUAAUAAUAGUAGAAGUUGUAAUAACAAUAAUGACCUUUUUGGCGAGAUAAGGAAUCUAAAAUGACACAAUUUUGCCAUCUUGCCAUGGCUUCAGUAAUACCAAUGACCAUGUUUUCUUGCCCUUCCUCUUAUGCUGAAAUGAAGGAGAGAAGUAGAAGGUUCUCAACCAAAGUGAGACGAGGUGCAACCAAAAACUUAUGACUGUUUUUUUAUGACACACACUUCUGCAAAUUUUGUCUGAUUCAAUGACCACAAUAAGCAGUGUCUAUCCUCAGUAAUUGUUUUAUUAAAUGUAUGUAAAGUUGUCUCCGGUUGGAGCAGCAUAAAAUCUGUAUUUUAAUGGAAAAUAAAUUCGAUAAAGCAAUCAAUGAAGCUUUAUUGUUAUGAGAAAAUAAGAAAAAACAGACAACAUCCACAGAAAGAGCUGGAUGAAAACAAGAAAGGCAUAUGGCUCUGUAAAAAGUAAUGGACUAUAUAGUUUGGGAAACAGCCAUAAAUCUACAUCAUUUUGAUAGUAACCCCAUAAUGUACUGUACAUGGGCAGAUAAAAAAAUAUAUACUCUAGGAAUUAUACAGAAGAUGGGAAGGAUGUGAAUGUGGCUUGAUAUUGAUAAUACGCAGGAGUGAAAAUGCAAGACGGUGAAAAGAGAUGUUAUCGUAGGCUGUGUGUGACUGAGAGAGAAAGAGAAAGGACACCCCUCUUAGCCCAGCCAGAGACAGAAAACACUAUCCUCCUUUUGUCCGAGAUAGGAGGACUAGACUAGACAGGGGGUGGAUGCUUAAACGUUCCACCUCUUUGAACAACCAAGUAUUUCUCGAUGCUUAGAACAUGUGCGCGUUACGCAGCAUCUGAAAAUGAACAAUGCGUUUAUGAGAUUCACUAAAUAAAGGAUUUAAAAUACCGAAACCUCAGAUUUAUGAAG